AACGCUGGCGGCGUGCUUCAUGAUGCGAGUCGAACGGAGAGUUUUGUAGCAAUACGGAGCUUCUCAGUGGCGAACGGGCGAGUAACGAGUUGGUGACCUGCCCCGAAGGUGUGGGAUAACAGUCCGAAAGGAUUGCUAAUACCGCAUGUGAUCAUUGGUCUUAGAAUCUGAUGAUUAAAGCAGUAAUGCGCUUCGGGAGGGACCUGCUUCCCAUCAGCUAGUUGGUGAGGUAACGGCCCACCAAGGCUACGACGGGUAAGGGACCUGAGAGGGUGGUCCCUCGCAAUGGCACUGAAACACGGGCCAUACACCUACGGGUGGCAGCAGUAGGGAAUAUUGGGCAAUGGGCGAAAGCCUGACCCAGCAACGCCGCGUGCACGAUGAAGGCCUUCGGGUCGUAAAGUGCUUUUCUGAGGAAUGAGUAAGGACAGUACCUCAGGAAUAAGCCUCGGCUAACUACGUGCCAGCAGCCGCGGUAAAACGUAGGAGGCGAGCGUUAUCCGGAUUUACUGGGCGUAAAGCGUGUGUAGGCGGUUCGGCAAGUUGGAUGUGAAAGCUCCUGGCUUAACUAGGAGAGGUCGUUCAAUACUACCAAACUUGAGGGCAUCAGAGGAAGGUGGAAUUCCCGGUGUAGUGGUGAAAUGCGUAGAUAUCGGGAGGAACACCAGUGGCGAAAGCGGCCUUCUGGGAUGCUCCUGACGCUCAGACACGAAAGCUAGGGUAGCGAACGGGAUUAGAGACCCCGGUAGUCCUAGCAGUAAACGAUGUAGACUUGGUGUCGGAGGUGUCAAAACCUUCGGUAUCGUAGCUAACGCGAUAAGUCUACCGCCUGGGGACUACGGCCGCUAGGUUAAACUCA
rnacentral:rRNA from 1 species